rnacentral:misc_RNA from 1 species
GUGAAUCAUCAAAUCUUUGAACGCAAAUUGCACUCUCUGGCAUUCCGGAGAGUAUGCCUGGCUUAUGGUCAGUCUAAAUAAAAUUCGAGGCGUUGCUGUUUUGUGACCCAUCGGAAUUGGGUUAUCUUUGACCUUUUAAAACGUUUAAGUGACCUAAACUUGAUACCUUGUUCAUCUCAGACGUACAUAAGCAUAUUUUUUUAUCCGUCCGGAGUUGCCCUCUUUUUCUUAGCUAUGACCAGGCUGUUUGUGGCAUCGUGCCUAUAAUAUACGCAUAUUUUCACCU